CUGCAGCCCGACUUGAGCGGAGCUCUUUUUCUUUUUUUUGCCAAAAAAGAAAAAAGCGGGAGUGGAAGGCGGAUUAAGC
rnacentral:sRNA from 1 species